GCUCCUUGGGUGACGAGUGGCGGACGGGUGAGUAAUGUCUGGGGAUCUGCCCGAUAGAGGGGGAUAACCACUGGAAACGGUGGCUAAUACCGCAUAACGUCGCAAGACCAAAGAGGGGGACCUUCGGGCCUCUCACUAUCGGAUGAACCCAGAUGGGAUUAGCUAGUAGGCGGGGUAAUGGCCCACCUAGGCGACGAUCCCUAGCUGGUCUGAGAGGAUGACCAGCCACACUGGAACUGAGACACGGUCCAGACUCCUACGGGAGGCAGCAGUGGGGAAUAUUGCACAAUGGGCGCAAGCCUGAUGCAGCCAUGCCGCGUGUAUGAAGAAGGCCUUCGGGUUGUAAAGUACUUUCAGCGGGGAGGAAGGCGACGGGGUUAAUAACCCUGUCGAUUGACGUUACCCGCA
rnacentral:rRNA from 1 species